CCCACUGCGAGGUGCCCGAAGUGAUAGCCACCAUGAAGCACGGCAAGAAAGUGUGUCUGGAUCCUGCCGCGCCCUGGGUCAAGCUGAUCAUCACCAAGAUCCUGAACAGUAAAUCAAACAAACUGUGAGGAGAGAAGAGGAACUAGGAACUACAACAGAAACUACCUGUGUGUACAUGGCAAGAAAAGCGUGGCGGAGAAUGGAGAACUAGUCAGGGUGAACGCUGCUUUUGAAGGUCUGAUAGACUGCACUGCAUUCAACUUCAACGCAUUCCACUGACUUAUUGCAACCUCUUCUUAUUUAUGUAUUUAUUCAUAUAUCUCUAUAGAGAGCUAGCUCUUCAGUGGCUAAGUGUUAUUGUUAACCUCCUUAGGUUUUGUGCAGGGGGGCACCGGAGAUAUCUUGUUGUCAACCUUAUACACCUUCUACCGAACCUCAGGUACUCUGAACAGGUCAAAAUGGACAAUACUGUGACCUGUGCCUUGUGGACCGGCAUGAUGCCCUCUGGUUUGUGGAGAACCAGAGACUCACAUUCUGGCACUGCCACCCAUUUAGCCUUUGUGCACAGAGAUAUUUAGGAGGAUUAUAAAAUGAAAUCCACUUAGAACAAACACAGUAACUUGCUACAGUCCUGAAAUGUGUUGCCAAGACAGGUGUCCUUACGACACAGAAUCGUGUGUUAAGUUAGGUGAAACAGACUCACUGCUGUUCUCCUGUAGAAAGCAAUCUUUAGGAAGAUGUGGCUUCCAGUCACCAGCUGAAGUUGGUGCAAACUCUUUGGGUUCUCUUUUGAUGCGUGUUAAAUUAUUUUUAUACAAUUUAAAUAUGUGGCAUUUAUGCUGAAAGUUUAAGAACAGUAAUGUUCUGCACAUCCUUGGACAUUUUAUGUCUUUGCUGUAUGACACACUGUCAUGUUUUGUGAAAAGCGGUAUUAUUAUACUGUACUAAAAUGAAGUAAUUGUAAUAAUGGAGGGAGUUAUAAAUAAAAUAUUUUCUGAUUAAAAGUGGUGGAGUCUUCUGCUCAGUUCAAGUUAAUGAACAUGCAUCUGUCACAGUGGGACCCCUGGAAAAGUGUGGUGUGGGUGGGACUAGGUAUAAUUUACACUCUG